rnacentral:rRNA from 1 species
AAUGAACGUUGACGGCGUGGAUUAGGCAUGCAAGUCGAGCGAGAACCCCGCAAGGGGGGACAGCGGCAAACGGGGUAGUAACGGGUAGGCAACGUACCCUCGGGAUGGGGAUAGCCACGGGAAACUGUGGGUAAUACCCAAUAAUCACCUGGUCCUUCAUGGAUUGGGUGCAAAGGUGUGAUUCCACCUGAGGAGCGGCCUGCUUCGUAUUAGCUAGUUGGUGAAGUAACGGCUCACCAAGGCAUCGAUGCGUAGGGGGUGUGAGAGCAUGACCCCCACCACUGGGACUGAGAUACUGCCCAGACACCUACGGGUGGCUGCAGUCGAGAAUCUUCGGCAAUGGGCGAAAGCCUGACCGAGCGACGCCGCGUGUGGGAUGAAGGCCCUUGGGUUGUAAACCACUGUCAGAGGGGAUGAAGUGCACGUGAGCCAUCUCAUGUGUUUGACAUAGCCUCAGAGGAAGCACGGGCUAAGUUCGUGCCAGCAGCCGCCGUAACAC